AUUCUGGUUGAUCCUGCCAGUAGUUAUAUGCUUGUCUCAAAGAUUAAGCCAUGCAUGUCUAAGUACACACGAAUUAAAAGUGAAACCGCAAAAGGCUCAUUAUAUCAGUUAUGGUUCCUUAGAUCGUUAACAGUUACUUGGAUAACUGUGGUAAUUCUAGAGCUAAUACAUGCAAUUAAAACACGGACCUUCUGGGACGUGUGCUUUUAUUAGACUAAAACCAAGCGAUCAAUUGAUCGUUAUAUUGGUUGAACUCUAGAUAACAUGCAGAUCGUAUGGUCUUGUACCGACGACAGAUCUUUCAAAUGUCUGCCCUAUCAACUUUUGAUGGUAGUAUCUAGGACUACCAUGGUUGCAACGGGUAACGGGGAAUCAGGGUUCGAUUCCGGAGAGGGAGCCUGAGAAACGGCUACCACAUCUAAGGAAGGCAGCAGGCGCGUAAAUUACCCACUCCCAGCUCGGGGAGGUAGUGACGAAAAAUAACAAUACAGGACUCAUAUCCGAGGCCCUGUAAUUGGAAUGAGUACACUUUAAAUCCUUUAACAAGGACCAAUUGGAGGGCAAGUCUGUACAACAUACAUUUGUAGUUAGUACUAUACCUUUAUGUAUGUAAGCGUAUUAUCGGUGGAGUUCUUAUAUGUAAUUAAGUACUUGUACUUUUUUAUAUAUUCCUCCUAUUUAAAAACCUACAUUAGUGCUCUUAAUCGAGUGUUUUUGUGGGCCGGUACAAUUACUUUGAACAAAUUAGAGUGCUUAAAGCAGGCUUCAAAUGCCUGAAUAUUCUGUGCAUGGGAUAAUGAAAUAAGACCUCUGUUCUGCUUUCAUUGGUUUUCAGAUCAAGAGGUAAUGAUUAAUAGAAGCAGUUUGGGGGCAUUAGUAUUACGACGCGAGAGGUGAAAUUCUUGGACCGUCGUAAGACUAACUUAAGCGAAAGC
rnacentral:ncRNA from 1 species